rnacentral:lncRNA from 1 species
AUGAAGAGGAUAACUUAUUCGCACCCCCCAAGCUGACCGACGAGGACUUCUCACCAUUUGGCUCUGGAGGCAGCCUGUUCAGUGGGGGCAAGGGGCUCUUUGAUUAUGAGGACGAGGAGGUGAGUCCAUGGCACUCAGCAACACUCCCUGCAGCUAGCUGUGUCAGGGGUCCACAGGGAAGAAAUAGGCUUUGCUUGUUGAGUGGGGAAAAACAGUUUCUCAGUUGGAAGUUGCUUCUAUUUUCAUAUUUUGGGACAUUUUGAACUAAGAAUCACAGAGUGAGAAAUGCCGUAUCCUUCUAUGCUUUGUUAGGUGAGGCGAAGAUGUGCACGUGUUAAUGUGAAUAAUUUACUAGGUGAUUGUUUCUUGCCUUAUCUGUUGUCUUCCAUGUUUGUUUUUAAUUCCUGGACAGGCCUAAAUUAUUUUAGAGUCUGAUUUUGCCAUAGUUAUCACUUUGCAACUGAUUUUCUGGCAGAGUAGUAAAUAUGUAGCUUUAAAUCUUGUAGGUUAUUUUUCCUUAGGAAUCCUCAAAUGCAGCUAUGCUUUCUCCUGGUUUUUUGAAUUCUUUGUCAUAUACCUUAUUUCAACCAGAGUGACCUCUUCACGGAAGCCCCCCAGGAUCGGCAAGCUGGAGCCUCUGUUAAGGAGGAGUCUUCAUCAUCCAAACCUGGAAAGAAAAUCCUAGCAGGAGCUGUUUCUGUAUUUUUAGGAGACACGGAUGUGCUGCCUCCGUUCCAUCACUGAAGGAGCCACAGAAGCCUGAGCAGCCCACUCCAAGGAAAAGCCCCUACGUUCCCCUCCCACUGGCCUCUUUGAUGAUGAUGAUGGUGAUGAUGAUGACGACUUUUUCUCGACACCCCACAGCAAGCCUUCCAAAACAGGCAAAGUCCAAUCCACUGCCGAUAUCUUUGGUGACGAAGAAGGAGAUCUGUUCAAAGAAAAAGCCGUAGCAUUGCCAGAAGCCACUGUGAGUCAGACAGAUGAAAAUAAAGCAAGAGCAGAAAAAAAGGUUACCUUAUCUUCCAGCAAAAAUCUCAAGCCCUCAUCAGAAACAAAGACUCAAAAAGGCUUAUUUUCAGAUGAGGAGGACUCUGAGGUAUGGAAUUCUUUUGCUUAGUUGUGGGUAUUAGUCUAUGAUAUGACAUAACUAUUUUGAAUCAGGUUUUUCUCAAUAGAGUUAUAAGACUUUUGUUAAGUACUCCAGUUCUUUAAAAA